rnacentral:lncRNA from 1 species
UACGUUCUCUGUAAUCAAUUGCCUCGAUAUGGUUAGGUAGUGCGUAGUAAGUACUAAACGGACUUGAUUCUCAAAAUUUAAUUUAUUAUAAUUUUUAAUUCAAAUUUUUAGAUUUGUUGUAAUCAAGUUUUAUAAUCCAAUUUGGUUAACUAAAUACUGAUGAGUUGCUAACUUAGAAGUUACGCAGCAGUGUGGUGAUUUAUGAUGUAUUAGCAAAACGUCAAUUUUGAUCGACUAAUUUAGAUUGUGGAAUUUUAUUGCAAAUAAUUUUGAAAGUUUGAGUCUUAAAUUAUUGCAAAUUAAAAUUUGAGGACGA